UACGUAGGGUGCAAGCGUUAAUCGGAAUUACUGGGCGUAAAGCGUGCGCAGGCGGCUUUGCAAGACAGAUGUGAAAUCCCCGGGCUUAACCUGGGAACUGCAUUUGUGACUGCAUGGCUGGAGUGCGGCAGAGGGGGAUGGAAUUCCUGGUGUAGCAGUGAAAUGCGUAGAUAUCAGGAGGAACACCGAUGGCGAAGGCAGGUCUCUGGGCUGACACUGACGCUCAUGCACGAAAGCGUGGGGAGCAAACAGG
rnacentral:rRNA from 1 species